CACUGAUGUUCAAGUCCGAAUGCUUUACCUUCAACGGCCACAAGAUGGAACAGACUUGCUUUCCCAGCCGUGCAGGGGAGAAUUCCUACAUUUCCUAGGGAGAAAAAGGGAGCAGCGAAGAGAAUACCACGGGGAGCUGCCCGCACCGGACUUCUGGGCCGCGUCUGCCCAUUUGCAGGCAUUUGUGGCCCAGGAAAGCUGCCCGCCCCGGCCCAGGCUCGUCCACAUGUGACUUCAAGCCACUGACUCAACGAUACCACUCAACUGCCUGCUUCCACAGGCACCGAGACCUGUAGGAAACCACCCAGUGGGACUCAAUCCGGCGCCCCGACUAGCUGCUGGAAUUAAUUCUCCACGUUGACAAAAACAGGGACUCAACCCAAGACUCUGUGGGUCCUCAUACCAUAAAUACAACCCUCCAUGACACACAAAAAGGCAAGAGCGAAGCUGUGUGCUCCCCAAGGUGCCCGGCUGAGCAGCUCACGUGAGAACAGGUAACAGGAAGGGUGGGCUGGCACAGCGCAGGGCGGACAAGCAGGAAGGGAACUCCUUUCAGAUGGUCGCAGCCUUCCUGGCCUGGCUC